rnacentral:rRNA from 1 species
CCUACGGGAGGCAGCAGUGAGGAAUAUUGGUCAAUGGGCGGGAGCCUGAACCAGCCAAGCCGCGUGAGGGAAGAAGGUACAGCGUAUCGUAAACCUCUUUUGUCAGGGAACAAAGGCGGGGACUAGUCCCCGGAUGAGGGUACCUGAAGAAAAAGCAUCGGCUAACUCCGUGCCAGCAGCCGCGGUAAUACGGAGGAUGCGAGCGUUAUCCGGAUUUAUUGGGUUUAAAGGGUGCGCAGGCGGCCUGUUAAGUCAGCGGUAAAAGCCCCCGCUCAACGGGGUGAAGUGCCAUUGAUACUGCCUGGCUGGAAUGCGGAUGCCGUGGGAGGAAUGUGUGGUGUAGCGGUGAAAUGCAUAGAUAUCACACAGAACACCGAUUGCGAAGGCAUCUCACGAAUCCGCGAUUGACGCUGAUGCACGAAAGCGUGGGUAUCAAACAGGAUUAGAUACCCUUGUAGUC